rnacentral:rRNA from 1 species
AUUGAACGCUGGCGGAAUGCUUUACACAUGCAAGUCGAACGGCAGCACGGACUUCGGUCUGGUGGCGAGUGGCGAACGGGUGAGUAAUACAUCGGAACGUGCCCAAUCGUGGGGGAUAACGUAGCGAAAGCUACGCUAAUACCGCAUACGAUCUAAGGAUGAAAGCGGGGGAUCGCAAGACCUCGCGCGAUUGGAGCGGCCGAUGGCAGAUUAGGUAGUUGGUAGGGUAAAGGCCUACCAAGCCGACGAUCUGUAGCUGGUCUGAGAGGAUGGACAGCCACCCUGGGACCGGGACACGGCCCAGACUCCUACGGGAGGGAGCAGUGGGGAAUUUUGGACAAUGGACGCAAGUCUGAUCCAGCCAUUCCGCGUGCAGGAUGAAGGCCCUCGGGUUGUAAACUGCUUUUGUACAGAACGAAAAGGCUCUGGUUAAUACCUAGGGCUCAUGACGGUACUGUAAGAAUAAGCACCGGCUAACUACGUGCCAGCCGCCGCGGUAA